UAUUAAAAACUUCAUCUAUUUGUACUUUUGAAAACUGGUGUGGUUGACGUAAUAACCAAAUAAUGACACGUAAUGUGUCAUGUGUACCUCAUGCUGACGUACAUUGACCAAUUUUUAAUUGUAGAUAUGGAUGAAAACA
rfam:Gossypium arboreum cultivar AKA8401 contig_41950_1, whole genome shotgun sequence.